UGAACAUAUUAUAGAAUGUUCGGAGGAGAUCUGCCAGAAAUGUACAGGGAUUCGAAUGAUAUCUCUCUUGGGAUAUUUGAAGAUUAUUAAUGAUUGCUCUCUCGGAAACCACCACAUUACAAGAAGCUGAAGACCCGAAAGAGGCCAUAUGAAGGAACUGAAGUAUCUGCUGAAUAGUCCUAGCUGCAGUACCAACUAACUCAAUCAACUAGUUGCAGCACCAGCUACCUACCAGCUGUGUGGAGUUUUGCUCUGUUGCCCAGGCUGGAGUGCAGUGGCAUGAUCUUGGCUCACUACAACCUCUACCUCUCAGGUUCAAGUAAUUCUCCUGCUUCAGCCUCUCAAGUCGUUGGAACUAUAGGCAUGCACUAUCACACCCAGCCUCAGGAAGAAGGUGCCUGCAACUCUUUCUGCCAUGAUUGUUAGUUUCCUGAAGCCUCCCAACCAUGUGGAACUGUGAGUCAAUUAAGUCACUUUCCUUUAUAAACUACCCGAUCUCAGGGAAGUUCUUUAUAGCAGUGUGAAAACAAGCUAAGACAUAAGUUUUUUUGUGGUAAAGAACAACCUCUGGUAUUCUGGCCCUUUAAGAGCUUGAGUAUUCAAAAAAUAAUGUUCUGUUCA